AACGAACGCUGGCGGCAUGCCUAACACAUGCAAGUCGAACGAGACCUUCGGGUCUAGUGGCGCACGGGUUCGUAACGCGUGGGAACCUGCCCUUAGGUUCGGAAUAACUCCCCGAAAGGGGUGCUAAUACCGGAUAAUGUCUUCGGACCAAAGAUUUAUCGCCUUUGGAUGGGCCCGCGUUGGAUUAGCUAGUUGGUAGGGUAAAAGCCUACCAAGGCGACGAUCCAUAGCUGGUCUGAGAGGAUGAUCAGCCACACUGGGACUGAGACACGGCCCAGACUCCUACGGGAGGGAGCAGUGGGGAAUAUUGGACAAUGGGCGAAAGCCUGAUCCAGCAAUGCCGCGUGAGUGAUGAAGGCCUUAGGGUUGUAAAGCUCUUUUACCCGGGAUGAUAAUGACAGUACCGGGAGAAUAAGCUCCGGCUAACUCCGUG
rnacentral:rRNA from 1 species